GCCCGGUUAGCUCAGUCGGUAGAAAAUCAGACUUUUAAUCUGAGGGUCAAGGGUUCAAGCCCCUUAUUGGGCG
rnacentral:tRNA from 1 species